rnacentral:rRNA from 1 species
AGUGAACGCUGGCGGUAGGCCUAACACAUGCAAGUCGAACGGCAGCACGGUAAGAGCUUGCUCUUACGGGUGGCGAGUGGCGGACGGGUGAGGAAUACAUCGGAAUCUACUUUUUCGUGGGGGAUAACGUAGGGAAACUUACGCUAAUACCGCAUACGACCUACGGGUGAAAGCAGGGGAUCUUCGGACCUUGCGCGAUUGAAUGAGCCGAUGUCGGAUUAGCUAGUUGGCGGGGUAAAGGCCCACCAAGGCGACGAUCCGUAGCUGGUCUGAGAGGAUGAUCAGCCACACUGGAACUGAGACACGGUCCAGACUCCUACGGGAGGCAGCAGUGGGGAAUAUUGGACAAUGGGCGCAAGCCUGAUCCAGCCAUACCGCGUGGGUGAAGAAGGCCUUCGGGUUGUAAAGCCCUUUUGUUGGGAAAGAAAAGCAGCAGAUUAAUACCCCGCUGUUCUGACGGUACCCAAAGAAUAAGCACCGGCUAACUUCGUG